rnacentral:tRNA from 1 species
CCGCGGGAGGUCCCAUGGCGGGACAGUGCUCUGUAAAAGCACGGCGCUCGCGCAAGCAGGUUCGAUUCCUGCCCCGCGGA